GAUGUUGGUGAACGCGGUACUAUCGAUAAUACUAUCGUAUUUUUGCAAUUCUAUUGCAAUUAUUAUUAUUUCAAUUCAAUUAAAUUAUAGCAUUGAAGUACCCUACAGAAAAUAUGUCUAAUUUUUUUAAAACAGAUCCCUAAGCGUUUUUCUUAAAACCCGCGUUCAUAAGCAAAAGCUUCAUGAAAGUGAACUUCACCGAGAAGAACAAGAUUAAAGAGAGCAAUAGUAAACAACAAGUGUCGUCGUCGAUAAGCGUAAUGCGAAGUAGUAAAAGUAAACGCAUCAUCAGUUUAUCUAGAAAAGAUAACAUUGAUUCCCGGGAUGAUAUUCUUUCGAAAAGUGGACUACAGUUCUGUCGAAAAGGUGCGCAACUUUUUUCAGCAAUUUGGUCCUGUGCCUGUGGUGAAUUUGCAGCCUUGUCAGAUGGUUUACUAUUAAAAAUCUGCUGGCAGUCCUGGAGUCUUCAAACCGUGGUCCCACCUUUAGUUAAUUUUUACGGGGCUGGCAGGAUGGUACCACAUUUCGGAAGUAUGAAAAUGAGAUGAAAACAAAAUUUUCAAGUUGAUAUACAAAAAGAUCAAAAAUAAUAUAAUUUCGUUGGACUGGAGAGCCAGUGAUUUCGAAAUCAGAAUCUUUGGGAACAACCAAACGGAAAAACGGAAAGCUAAAGAAGACACUUCCGAAAUCUAGGUAGCAUUCACACAGCUUAAAUUGCCAAGUUAAAGAUUCAUUAAAAUCCGCUAAAAUAAAAUUUCCUAGCCCAACGGCUUCAUUAAGUCGACGAUUUCCUCAGUGACGGACAUGGCGACAUGAACUCAUAAUAACUUGAAGCUCACCCAAAUUGAUAGCAAUCCAGCGGACUUAAGCGCAGUGAUCUAAAGUAAUCCAAAGGACCCAAAAAUAUUAUUUUAGUUGUUUAACGCACUGAUCGUUUUCAGGACUCAAGAUAAAGAAUUCGAGACGUUUGAGACAUAUUCAAGUACAUUUUGGUCAUACCUGUUAAGGAAUUUCAAUUACUAUUUCUAAUCCGUGUUCCUAGAGCCUUUGGUGAGCUGUAUUCCUUACGUAUUCACAUCGUGACUUUGGCUUUGUUGACUAAAUCUCCAAGUAGAGUCCGAAAGCGCCUUCAACACUUUUAGAGCCAGUACUCAUUUCUACUGCCGUCAAUUGGUGCUUGAGUAGAGCGCCAAAGAUAAACAACCUGGGCGUGGAGGAGCAUUGCAAACAGACGGUGAUCUAAUUCGGCGCCAGUCUGGCAGCCUAUUCGCCGAAACGCGGUUAAAAAUCCCUCUUCGUUGUAGAGGGAUAAGUGCAGUCAAAUCAAGAGGACGAGGAAAAGCAAUAAUAUCCAGGCCUAGCUUGAAAAUGUAUAAAGUAGACAAUAUAAUUUUUAAAAUAUUCAUAUAAAAAAAACUGCCCUGAAACAUAAUUACAAUGCCUGAAUGAUAAUCUCGAAGCCCUAUAGCAAUAUCU
ensembl:ncRNA lncRNA:CR45473 long non-coding RNA:CR45473